GCUGAAAGCACCUGAGCUGGAGGAGCUUAGAAGGGCUUCAGCUGUCGGCGGCCAUCUUGAAAGAAAGAAAGAAAGACCGAUUCUGGAACAGCCAAUUAUAAAUUGCCUUCAUGAAGGGUAUCAGUGGAUUCUUCCUCUGUGGGACCUUCUCUCUGCCUGAGGAUCAAUCUGGAAGACUUUUGGAAGAAGUGGAACUUAAGGAAGAUUUCUGAGGAAAAUGUAUUAAAACAUGGAGAAUGUCACAAAAAGUUUCUAGGCAUAACAGAUUACAUGGCAGAUGGAAGAGGAAAGUUGGAGGUGCAGCUCCUUUUAUAAUAGCUAUUCAGCACCAUCUAGUUAAAGGUGUCCUGGCUAGAGUUCUUCCCUACCCCAGCAGGACCAAUUUCAGAGGAAAGCAGAUGUCUGUAAAACUGAUUCUGACAACAAUUUGGAUUAGGGUUUUCUUUGAUAUACAGAAGACAAAAUUAAUUCAGGAUAAAUGGUUAUUGAUUUUCAUGAACUAUCCACUUAAUAAGUAAAAGUCUGGUUCUCCUUAGUAAUCAACUGAUCAAUCCAGUCAACAGAUCUAGUUGCUUUCAAUUUUUUAUUGGGAAUGGUAUCUUGGUUCUGUGAGGUUCCUUCUGGGGCAAUAGUUAUAGCAUAUUCUAGGGCUGUGUGAAGCUUCAGGUGCUGAUUUGGUGGCUGAAUCUCCGAAUUGAAUCAGGAGACCAAUAAAAGGUCUGAAUCAAUUCAAAGCUCUCCGAAUCGAUUUGGAAAAGAUUCGGAGAGAUUUGGGCAGUCCCCACUCACCACCGCAGGGAGCUGGAUCCAGACUCUAUGCUGGUAAGUGUGUGUGUGUGUGUGUGUGUGUGGUGGUGGGGGACUGGAGGAGUGGGCAGGGGACCAUGGGGGGACCCCCACCAGGCCCCAUCCCUUGCCUGCUCCCCCAGCCCCCCGAGCAACCCCGACUGCUCUCCCAGCACCGUCAAUGGCUGCCCUGCCUGGCCCCAGCAUCCCGGCUCCUUAAAAAAAAGGGGGGAAAAAAAAGCCCUGCAAUCACUGGCUCCUGCCAGGGCCAGGGGGAGGGGGGGCAAUCCCUGCUGCCCCCCACUGUUCCAUGCUGUGUGGGGGAGCUCUGCCACGAGUCCCCAACCCCCUCGAUAGCCGCUGCAGCGGCUGAUGAGUGCGGGGCUUUUUUUUUAAAGAGCUGGGAUGCUGGGGCUGGGCGAGGCUGCCAUUGACAGGACUGGGAGAGCAGGUGGGGGAUGAGGCCUGUUUGAUUCGGAGAUUCGCCCAAUUUGGCGGUGGCCAAAUCUCCAAAUCAGAUUUGGCUAAUCAAUUUGGGACAGUGAUUCAAAUCACUGAAUCAAAACACUGUCCUCCGAAUCGGCCAAAUCCAAAUCUGAUGAGAAUACUAGCCGCUUUGCACAGUCCUAGCAUAUUUCCGUUUUAAUUUUUAAAAAAGAAAAUUGAAUUUUAUUUCAUAAAUUUUGGUUCUUUUAAAUUUUGGUUUAUUUCAAAUUUUGGUUCUUCUCUAAGUCUUUUAAAGACUCAGUAACAGUAAAAUAAUUUUACAUUUGAAAUACAGAUUUAACUUUUUUCAGUUUGUCUAGUUGGAUAAACUCAUGACUUGUGAGUUGCAUAAUUGUAUUCACACUGGCUUCAUCAACAUGAGACACUAUCACGGAGUAGCUUGUUGCUAUUGCGCAGUAGUGUUGGGCGUACUAACCGUGAUGCGAUGCUACUGCACAUAGCAUCAGAAAAAAACCGUGCAGGGAUGCUGCUGUGCAGUAAUGCUGGUUACUGUGUAGUCAUUUAGUACCUGGUUAUGCAAGUACUAAAUGACUGUACAGUAACAACUGUGCAGUGCGCUGCUCAUGUAGACAUGGCCACUGAAUAGUUAUGUUGGAACACUGCAAAACCUAUGCAAAUGGUACUAAACAAAAGCCCUUCCUGGGAUCUGGAAAUGUUUAGUGUUGUAAUCUGACCUUUACUGAAGAUACGCUGUGCAUAUCAAUCUAUAAAACAUACCCAGUAAGUAGAGACCUACCAAAUUAAUGGCAAAAGUGGGGUGGGCUGUGGCUCCUUUAAUUUUGCAGGUUCCCCCCUUCCCACUGAUUGGUGUAGGGGCCCUGCUUGCAGCUUGCUCCUGAUCAGUGGGGAGGUGAAAACUGAGGUUUUAAAUAUGGUGCCAUUUUUGCCUCCCCUCCCGAUUGGCUGAGGGGCCCUGAAUGGCCUUGCUGCUGACUGGUGGGGAGGCAAAAACAGUGCCAUGUUUAAAACAGCAGUUUUACCUUCCCUGCUGAUCAAGGCAUGAUGGGUUCCUCUGCUAAUCAGCAGCAGAUGGGGGGGGGGGAAGGGGGGGAAACGGACAAGGUACGUAUGUGGGAACAUGCAAGACUAAAGGAGCCACUGUGCAAUCUACUUCCACCAUGAAUUCAUUAGGUCCCUACCAGUAAGUAAUGCUUUAAAGCCUAGUAUUCUGAUCAAUUUUACUUCCUGGUUCUGCUUUUGCACAUAGUAUUAGCAUAUUGGCAAAAAUAACUUUUCCUUCCCCCAAGAGAACAUCAGGUAAGCAAAGGCUAUUUCCAUGUUUCUACCCACUAGUGUCUUUGGAUCUGACCCUAUAUUAUUGGCACAGGCAAAAUUCAGAGAUUCUACUGAAAGUUUUGGUGGUAGAAGCACAGAAUUAGAUUGCUAGUGUUUGUAAGGCAGUGCCUGAUUUUUUUGAUUACUCACAGUAAGAUCCUAGUCACUUAGGACACCUAUAAUACAUGUGCAGGGAGGCUGCUCCGAUGCACUUUAAUUGCAGUGCAUCAGAGCAAAAUCAAUAGAGUUGGCUGGAGUGUCCAGCAGACUCCAGCAUCAUGUGCAUGUGUCCCUGUGCUGAAAAAUAGUGCUAGGGGUGCUUUAACUAAAGAAAGAGCCCCUGCCACUUUUCAAUGUGGAGAUGCCGAUACAUGUGAGGCUUUGAGAGCUGCUUUAAUUAAAGCACCCCAACUCCCAGAACACAUCUAUAAAUGCCCUUAAAUGCUGCAUACAGUAACUUUUGUUUUAAAAGAGGCUUUAACUCAGCAAGCUAUUAAUGCCUAGUCACUUUUACAGAGUUUAUAGUUAAAAGACAAGUCUUUUUCCAUUUGAAGUAUUCUUUGCAUACAUUUUGUCGUGAGUUCUGUUAAAAUAGUAUUGGUCAAGGACAGCGUUAAAAAAAAAAAAAAAAAAUCAGUGGGAAAAAAUAAGGCCUUGAUUUUUAGGUUUUUUGGGGGGCUAUCCAGUUUCCAAACUUUCCUUUCUAAAACUGAGAAAGAGAAACCUUUUUCCUUAUUAUUUCUUUUCUGGGAAUGAACUUUCCUUAGUUCUCUAAGGCUUAGGCAGGAAGUUUCAGUUUGAUUAAGAGGUUCCAGGGCUGGGUUAUGCUCCUUUUAUAACUUCACCCAGAUAACUGUUGCCAAAACUGGACUGAAAAAAUAAAUUCCUAACAAAAAAUGUUUAGCUGCAUUGUCUUAUUUCAACAGCUUAGUCUGUAGAUGGAUCCAGAAGGCUAGGGUCUAUUUG